GACGAACGCUGGCGGCGUGCUUAACACAUGCAAGUCGAACGGAAAGGCCCUGCUUUUGUGGGGUGCUCGAGUGGCGAACGGGUGAGUAACACGUGAGUAACCUGCCCUUGACUUUGGGAUAACUUCAGGAAACUGGGGCUAAUACCGGAUAGGAGCUCCUGCUGCAUGGUGGGGGUUGGAAAGUUUCGGCGGCUGGGGAUGGACUCGCGGCUUAUCAGCUUGUUGGUGGGGUAGUGGCUUACCAAGGCUUUGACGGGUAGCCGGCCUGAGAGGGUGACCGGCCACAUUGGGACUGAGAUACGGCCCAGACUCCUACGGGAGGCAGCAGUGGGGAAUAUUGCACAAUGGGCGGAAGCCUGAUGCAGCAACGCCGCGUGCGGGAUGACGGCCUUCGGGGUGUAAACCGCUUUCGCCUGUGACGAAGCGUGAGUGACGGUAAUGGGUAAAGAAGCACCGGCUAACUACGUG
rnacentral:rRNA from 1 species